UAUAUGCUUCUCUUUUUAUAAACAGAGUGGAGGAAAAAAACAAUGCCAGCAGUGCAUCACUUAUGAGCAAACCUACAAUAACCAGUGUCACAUCAUGUACGUUGUUGUAAGAACUCUGCAAUACCGAGAUACAACAGAUUAGGUAUGCCAUUGUUGCUGC